CCAUUUUGAGGUGUGAAGCGUGGCAAUGAGGUCGGGAGCUGCUUACUAUCUCCUCAUCCUCUCAAUGUGGGUGGUUGCAGUGAUGGUCACCGUGAUCUCCUUCACCUCCGCUGAGAAAGAGAAAGAGUACGCACCGUCUACUACAUCACGAUACUGUGAGUCACCCAAUCCUUCGAGAAGACCCUGGUUACCGUGGGGCGGCGGCCAAUGGAGAUGUCCUGACCCGUGACCAUCAUCGUCGUAUUUGCAUGCCCGUUAUCUCGAGUUGCCUCACCGAGGAUAAAAUUGGAAUUAAUCACAGGAAAACGGACCAAAGUUUGAUCCCAAUCACGAGGUAAAAAUCAUGAAUACCAUGUGUAUAUGGAUUGUGGGUUCUAGUGGCAAAUGACUGAAUGACCUUUCUUAUGCGCCUUCCAUUUUUCUCUUUUCAAGCGUUUGCUGUCCUAUACUACCCCGCUAGUCUUAUCUAUGGCUAGUACAAUUUUAUCUCAUUUUGAAGAAACUUCUCCAGC